rnacentral:rRNA from 1 species
UACGUAGGGGGCAAGCGUUGUCCGGAUUUAUUGGGCGUAAAGGGCGCGUAGGCGGCACUGUUAGUCAGGCGUGAAAGUCCUGGGCUCAACCUGGGAACUGCGCUUGAUACGGCAGAGCUAGAGGAUGGAAGAGGGUCGCGGAAUUCCCAGUGUAGAGGUGAAAUUCGUAGAUAUUGGGAAGAACACCGGUGGCGAAGGCGGCGACCUGGUCCAUUACUGACGCUGAGGCGCGACAGCGUGGGGAGCAAACAGG